AUGAGUUCUGUCCCUGUAGACAGCUAGCUCCCAGUCUAUAUUCUGCAGCUCAAAUAUAUGUGCUUUCUUUCCGUUUUUUUCCUUUUGGUAGUUAAAAAUUCUAAGUAUAGAUUAUUCUCAAAUGUCAGAAGAAAAAGUGAUGUUAUUGUAGCCAUUUUGCCAGCCACCUAGCCAGCUUGCACUACCAAGUGGUUAUGUGAUAUGCCUGGAAGCUAAUUAUGAGCUUAGUGUCACAACUCCCAACCCCCCAAAAUAAAUCUAAUAGACAUUCUUUUUUUCCACUAAAAGUGUGUGUGGUUUUAGGCAUUGCUUUUUUUCAUGAUUUUUUUCUCAGCCUCCAGACAGUUAAAACUGGUAUUUAUUGGUUAGAAAGUAGUUGUGGGAGUUCCCAUUGUGGCUCAGCAGGUUAAGAACCUGACCAGUAUCCAUGAGGAUGCAGGUUUGAUCCCUGGCCUCACUCAGUGGGUUUAGAAGCCGGAGUUGCCAUGAGCUGUGGUGUUAAAAAAAAAAAAAAAAAAAAAAAAAAAAGGGAAAGAAACUGUGUUUAUUAAAGUUUUUAUUCUGAAGUAAAACAUGCUGAUUGUAGUGAAAAUUCAAACAGUAGUGAAAUGUGGCAAGUGGAAAUCUACUCAAUCACCUUUUAGGGAAAACUGGUAUUAUCAUAUAUAUAUUUGUCUUCCCAAUAUUUAUAUAUAGUAUAUAUGCAAAAAUUAAACUAUUCUGCAACCGGUUUCCAUCAUUCACUAUAGGUGGUAGGGCCUUUUAGUAGUUGAACAUAUAAACUUACUUCAUUUUUUCAAGGAGCUGAAUAAUAGUCUUAUUGAACAAAUGUACCAUAAUUUAUUCAAUGUGUCUUUUAUGGACAUUUAAAUUGUAUGAUAUUUUAAAAAUUUCUUAUUUAUUGUAAGGAUUGCUGCAAGAAACAUCAUGUAAAUAAAUAUAUCUUUGCGGAGUUGAGAAUUUAUGUCUUAGGUCUAAAUUUUCUAGCUGGAGAAUUGCUAAGUCAGAGACUAUUCUGUAAUUGUGGUAGAUAAUGACAGGUUGUCCUCCAAAAGGUGGUUCUGAAUUACUCUUUCAUCUACAGUACAUAAUAAUUCCUAUUUCCAAACUAGUAAAUUUAAUGUACUUUGAAGGUCCCAGAAUAUCUGUCUUUUUCUGGUUGGGUAAACACUGUGUGGAACACACCCUUUACUUUUUGUUCUGUAUCUGGUUUGGAUAGACUCACUGGAGAAACUGGUUUAUGAUUCUAACCUGACACUUGGAUGUCUGUGUUUGUUUAAUAUACCUCCUUAAAAGUUUAAACAUUUUAGGUGGAAGAUGUGAAAAAAAAAGCGUUCAUAUACACCUCUGGAAACCUUUUCUCUUCUCAAUUUUCAGAGUACACAGAUUUAUAAAGGUUUAGUGGCAAGUUAGGGUGUCUAAAUUCAUAUCAACUUGGCCACCAAAUAGCUGUGGACUUUAGGCAAGACACUUAAUCGUACUGUUCCUUAAUUUCCUCCUUGGUAAUAGUUACCGACCUCACAAGAUUGUUGUGAAAACAAAUAAUAGUGAUGAGGAUAGUAAUAAUAUUUUUGAAUAGUAAUUUAUAGCUUUCAGAACACAUUAAUGUGCAUUAUCUCUUUAGAUCUUUAUAAUAACCUUAUAUGGGAGAUAGGACAAACAUUUUCAUCACCAUUUUUUUUCACAUAAGAAAACUAAGGCACGGUUGAAAUGUGGUAACAAUAUCAAGAAAUAUUUCUUUGAGAGGUUAAUAUUACUACACAAAGGUAAUACCAAGGACAAGGAAACACUUACAUAACUAUUCCUGGCAAAGAGUUUCAGGGACUACUGCGUGUAUGGCAUUUCUUCCAGCAUUCCUAAGGAUGUUUACUAUGACGAGAAGACCAAUCUGUGAGCAACUGUUCUCCCCCCUUUUCCCACCAAAACUUUGUAUAUGGUUAAUGAUUAGAAAAUAGAAUUGUAUGUGUGACUUAUAAAUGCGUACAUGAUAGGAGUUCCUGCUGUGGCACAGUGGGUUAAGAAUCUGACUAUAGCAGCUCAGGCCUCUGCUAAGGCACGGGUUUGAUUCUCAGCCAGGUGCAGUGGGGUAAAGGAUCCAUCAUUCACAGCUGCAGCGAAGGUCAUAGCUGUAGCUUGGAUCAAUCAUCCCUGGCCCGGAAAUUUCCAUAUGCCAUGGGUGUGGCCAUAAAAAAGAUGCAAGUUUCAUCUUGCCUUGGUCACCACUGGAAACCUUGGUUAUGCAUCUAACUUGUAACUUCUGUUUUCUCAGCUUCCACUGUAGCUUCAUUACAAGCCUUGCACACUAGGUUUUCAGGGUAGCCCCAGAACACAAUGUACAAAUAUACACUGGAUCUUAGAGGAGAACAAGGGAAAGAACCCUCUCGUAUGUGCUUUAGCAGAGUGACUUGGCAUUUUCUCCCCCAUCUUGGAGGUUAAAGUAGUAUAUGUAAAAGUGUAUAUAUACUUUCUUUCUUUCUGGGGAGUGGGGGUGGAUACUUGAAAGAAAAGAAAAUCCUGACAUUAAUGUUGAUUCAGGAGCUAAUGUUCCAAAAAUUGGCUUCUACUUUUUAAUCGACUAAUCCAAGAAAUGUUUUCAUACUUCCCCAGGUUUCCACAGACAGAAAGCAAUUAUAUCAAAUCUUUAAGUUCAUCAUGAAUGGAAUGAUAAUAAUUUUUCUGUCUAGCUUGGACUGUAUCAGUAAUAAAUAACUCUCUUGAAGUAUUCUAUUUCCCAUGGAAUCAAAUUUAUAAUACAAUGUCUAUUUCUCACUUGGUGAUUAAACACAUUCAGUAACUAACUAUAUUAUUUAGUCCCCUUCGUAGGGAAGAGAAACCUGUGAGCAUGUAUCUGAUACUUUACUAAGGACAGAGUCAGCAAAUAAGUAGCACCACUGUAGUGCAAGACUGACAGUCCUUUCAGUGUCACAGAGAGUAGAUGAUUCCUCAAAGAAUUGUGAAGAGGGACAGGGCCUGGUAAGAUUACACAGCAAAUACAGAAGGAGCUGAGACCAGAAAACAAGGCUCAUAGACUAUGAACUUGCCAACAUUACUGCAGUUAUGCAUCCUGAGGGCUAUGCUGUCCACUUCUCUUGUCUGCCAUGAUACCCAGAGCUAAAUUUAGCACAAAACAACCACCAUUCUUAGCUUCAAUUUCAGUUAUUAGUUACCUUUUCCACUAUAGAUUUGCCUUUUAAAAUAUACAUUUUAAGGAUUUUGGAGUUCCUGUUGUGGUUCAGGGGGUUAAGAACCCAACUAGUAUCCCUGAGGAUUUGUGUUUGAUCCCUGGUCUCACUUAGUGGCUUAAGCUUUUGUGUAGGUCACAGAUGUGUCUCAGAUCCGGCAUUGCCAUGGCUGUGGUGUAGGUCACAGCUGCAACUUUGAUUUGACCCUUGGCCUAGGAACUUCCAUAUGCCACAGGCUUGGCCAUAAAAAGAAGGGGGAAGGAGUUCCCACUGUGGCUCAGAGAAAACAAAUCUGACUAGCCUCCACAAGGACACAGGUGCAAUCCCCAGCCUCGCUCAGUGGGUUAAGGAUCCGGCCUUGCCCUGAGCUGUGGUGUGGGUUGCAGAUGUGGCUUGGAUCUGGGGUUGCUAUGGCUAUGGUGCAGUCCGGCAGCUGUAGCUCUGAUUUGACCCCUAGCCUGGGAACCUCCAUAUGCUGCACAUGCAGCUCUAAAAAGACAGAAAAAAAGGGGGGGGUGGGGAGAGAAUGUAUUGAAUAUAUUUUCCUUUUUAAAAAAAUCACUUUACAUCUCUUUUUGGAAAUAGGUUGUUGCAAAUAUAAUAACUUGUACUUUUUAACACUGGACUUUCCCUGUGCUUUUUACAAACAUGGGGAUCUUUUACUGUUUGUUCUCAUGUCUAUUCAGUGUCAUGUAAGGACAUAACAAUAAUUUUUCUAAUACGAUGGAGUCCAUUAGUUUUACAUUGGUAACUCCCAGAGUUUGGAUGCCUGGUUUUCUGUUUAUCUGAGUAUCUUUACUCAGCUCUUUAGAUGGGAAACACUCUAACACAGACUCACGGGUUGACUGCAGACUGGACUUCACAUUUUCAGCAUGUACAUUUUCUAACCAUGCCUUCUGUGUCUCACGAGCAAGAAACAGGUAAAGUUCACAUAUUUAUGGAUGUGAAAGAAUGACUAUUUGCAAAAGUGAGAAGAUACUUGAUUAGUUUGUUUUUAGGUCUGGCCUUCUCAAAAUUUCAUCGUCCUAUAAUCUGAUUUUGGCUGGAAAGGUAAUGCCAGGUAUCAGAAAAAUUAUGUAAGAGCAGAAUUUUUGAAAUAUAAGAGAUUUCAAUUACUUGAGAUUUUCCUAUAGAGGACUCUUGUUGUGAAGGCAUCUCUUUGCUGUGUUCAGUCUUCCAACUCUCCACAUUGUUUUCAUGCUUGGCCACUCAUUAAAGCAGACAGGCAGCCCAUACAUGAGUUCAUCAGGCUGUUUGUUUUCUUACACAUGCUCUCAGCAUAAGCAAUCCGGGCUGGUGCUGGCGGGGAAAGCAGUUCCAGGGUGUUAGGUACCAUGGCUUCCUCAGUCUCAUUGCUCUGCCUUCUUCAAUCUGCAGAGUCCAUCUCUUGGUCCAAUAUGGGCUGCUCCAUUGCUGCACAGAAGUCAGUAAGAAGGGGGAAGAAGUAGGGAAAGCCAUACCCCUUUCCUUUUAAUGUCACAAUGGAAGUGUUACUUAUCACUUCCAGGUUUAAUUGUUCACGUGCUCGUUCUCCAUCCUACUUUAACCCAGCUUUUGAGGAUUAUGCAAUUAAUUGUUUUCUCCUCUAAUUUUCUGGAAGUCUAAUUUUGCUGAAAAUUUUCUGGAAGUCUAUUUUGCCAGUUUGGGGGGGUGGUUUUAUACCAAAGCCAGAGUGCAUAGAUAAUAAUUAUACUGGGACUUUACUCUUGGGAUCUUCACAACCUGGGCUAAUCAGCUUCUGAUUUCCUCCUACCAAGAAAAGUUGUGGUACAGUGUGUAUCAUUUCCCCACCCCUGCAUUUUAACAAUAAAAGAUUUUAGACUGUGUGUCUCUGUGAGCCAGAGAAGGGAAUAACUCUAUGGGUCCUUUUUUGCAUGUUCAUUUGCUUAUUUUUAUUUUCGUAUUUCCUUAUAAUAUUUAGAUAUUGCUUUAUGAUAAAAAGAGGAAGUCCUUUAUU
rnacentral:lncRNA from 1 species